GCCUAACACAUGCAAGUCGAACGAAGCUCUGCGAUACAAGACUUCGGUUAAGUUGAACGGAUGACUUAGUGGCGGACGGGUGCGUAACGCGUGAGGAACCUGCCCUUCAGUGGGGGACAACAGUUGGAAACGACUGCUAAUACCGCAUAAUGUAUUCUGACCGCAUGAUCGGAAUACCAAAGAUUUAUUGCUGAAAGAUGGCCUCGCGUCUGAUUAGAUAGUUGGUGAGGUAACGGCUCACCAAGUCGACGAUCAGUAGCCGGACUGAGAGGUUGAACGGCCACAUUGGGACUGAGAUACGGCCCAGACUCCUACGGGAGGCAGCAGUGGGGAAUAUUGGGCAAUGGGGGAAGCCCUGACCCAGCAACGCCGCGUGAAGGAAGAAGGCUUUCGGGUUGUAAACUUCUUUUACCAGGGACGAAGGACGUGACGGUACCUGGAGAAAAAGCCACGGCUAACUACGUGCCAGCCGCCGCAGUAA
rnacentral:rRNA from 1 species